GACAGAGGAUGCAAGCGUUAUCCGGAAUGAUUGGGCGUAAAGCGUCUGUAGGUGGCUUUUCAAGUCCGCCGUCAAAUCCCAGGGCUCAACCCUGGACAGGCGGUGGAAACUACCAAGCUGGAGUACGGUAGGGGAGUGUGGAAUUCCCGGUGUAGCGGUGAAAUGCGCAGAUAUCGGGAGGAACACCAGUAGCGAAGGCGGCACUCUGGGCCGGUACUGACGCUGAGGAGCGAAAGCGUGGGGAGCGAACAGG
rnacentral:rRNA from 1 species